rnacentral:misc_RNA from 1 species
GAUGAAGAACGCAGCGAAAUGCGAUAAGUAGUGUGAAUUGCAGAUUUCAGUGAAUCAUCGAAUCUUUGAACGCACAUUGCGCCCGCCAGUAUUCUGGCGGGCAUGCCUGUUCGAGCGUCAUUUCAACCCUCAAGCACUGCUUGGUGUUGGGGACCGGCUUGCCUUCAGCGCCUGCCGCCCCCGAAAUACAGUGGCGGUCUCGCCGCAGCCUCCUCUGCGUAGUAGUUUACAACCUCGCAUACGGAGCGCGGCGCGGCCACGCCGUAAAACCCCCUACUUUCAAAGGUUGACCUCGAAUCAGGUAGGAAUACCCGCUGAACUUAAGCAUAUCAAUAAGCGGAGGA